UAGGGAAUCUUCCGCAAUGGACGCAAGUCUGACGGAGCAACGCCGCGUGAGUGAAGAAGGAUUUCGGUUCGUAAAACUCUGUUGUUAGAGAAGAACAGCGCAUAGAGUAACUGUUAUGCGUGUGACGGUAUCUAACCAGAAAGCCACGGCUAACUACGUGCCAGCAGCAGCGGUAAUACGUAGGUGGCAAGUGUUGUUCGGAUUUAUUGGGCGUAAAGCGAGCGCAGGCGGUCAAUUAAGUCUGAUGUUAAAGCCCCCGGCUCGACCGGGGAGGGUCAUUGGUAACUGGUUGACUUGUGUGAAGAAGAGGAGAGUGGAAUUCCAUGGGUAGCGGUGAAAUGCGUAGAUAUAGGGAGGAACACCAGUGGCGAAGGCGACUCUCUGGUCUGUAACUGACGCUGAGGUUCGAAAGCGUGGGUAGCAAACAGG
rnacentral:rRNA from 1 species